AAAAAGUCAAACCCUGGGUUUCCGUCCCAACGUUUGACUGUCCGUUUUAUAUGAAAUUUUUUUAUAAUUAGUAUUUUCAUUGUUGUUAGAUGAUAAAACAUGAUUAAUACUUUAUGCGUGACCUAUCUUUUUAAUUUUUUUCAUAUUUUUUUUUAAAUAAGACGAACUGUCAAACGUUGGACACGGAAACCAGGGUUUGUCUUUUU
rfam:Oryza sativa (indica cultivar-group) chromosome 12, whole genome shotgun sequence.